AGUAAGUCCCGGUGUUUGUCUGGACGGUGAGAGGAAGACCGACGGUUGUAACCAGUGCUCCUGCUUGGGAGGCGCCUGGGCUUGCACCCUCAGAGCCUGCGUCGACCCCGCAGAUACAUUUCCUGGAUCGCUGCCAUGCAAGCUGGCUCCCCACAUCAAAGGGUGUUGAAAAAUCCCGCCACGAUAUCAAGAAUACCUGCUUGACUAAAUUAGGCAGGACAAUUGUUGGCUGAUCAAAGAAAAUGGCAUGGCAACCAAGACCCACGUUCGUAUGCAUAAUUUUUUAUCUGAUUGUAUGCCUUGUAUUAUAUCUGAGGGUGUGUUUAAUAAGUUAAGCCGUUCGUUCGUUGCCUGUGCGACUGAAUUUUUACGCUUUUAAUCGGAAAUGUAUGUGCUAAAAACGUCUGCCAGGUGAGACAAAUAUAAACGAAACACCGCAUUGAUGUGUGACUGGCUAAAAGCAUCGAAAGGAUUUUACUCCAUCGAGCGAACAAGCAGGCAGAAAACUGAUGAGGUGAGCCUUUAAUUUGCAUUUAACAAACCUUGUAUUGAAAUUAAAACUUUCU